rnacentral:rRNA from 1 species
ACGGCUCAGUAACACGUCGGUAACCUACCCUCGGGAGGGGGAUAACCCCGGGAAACUGGGGCUAAUUCCCCAUAGGCCUGAGGUACUGGAAGGUCCUCAGGCCGAAAGGGACUUAUGUCCGCCCGAGGAUGGGCCGGCGGCCGAUUAGGUAGUUGGUGGGGUAAUGGCCCACCAAGCCGAAGAUCGGUACGGGCUGUGAGAGCAGGAGCCCGGAGAUGGACACUGAGACACGGGUCCAGGCCCUACGGGGCGCAGCAGGCGCGAAACCUCCGCAAUGCGGGAAACCGCGACGGGGGGACCCCGAGUGCCGUGGCAACGCCACGGCUUUUCCGGAGUGUAAAAAGCUCCGGGAAUAAGGGCUGGGCAAGGCCGGUGGCAGCCGCCGCGGUAAUACCGGCGGCCCGAGUGGUGGCCGCUAUUAUUGGGCCUAAAGCGUCCGUAGCCGGGCCCGUAAGUCCCUGGCGAAAUCCCACGGCUCAACCGUGGGGCUUGCUGGGGAUACUGCGGGUCUUGGGACCGGGAGAGGCGGGGGGUACCCCUGGGGUAGGGGUGAAAUCCUAUAAUCCCAGGGGGACCGCCAGUGGCGAAGGCGCCCCGCUGGAACGGGUCCGACGGUGAGGGACGAAGGCCAGGGGAGCAAACCGGAUUAGAUACCCGGGUAGUCCUGGCUGUAAAGGAUGCGGGCUAGGUGUCGGGUGAGCCUCGAGCUCGCCCGGUGCCGUAGGGAAGCCGUUAAGCCCGCCGCCUGGGGAGUACGGCCGCAAGGGCCGAACUUAAGGAAUUGGCGGGGGAG